CGUAGUCUGGGAUAUGUA
rnacentral:rRNA from 1 species